GCUGAGAUGCUGGAAUUGGCAGACAGGCACGCUUCAGAAGCGUGUGCUCAUUACGAGCGUGAGGGUUCAAAUCCCUCUCUCAGCA
rnacentral:tRNA from 1 species